AGCCUGCUGGACAAGAAGUUUCCCACUAUAGACCAUGAGCAUUCUUUUCUGUUGCCAUCCACCCUCAGGGUUUGAAAAUUAUGAACCCCGUUGCUGGGGCAGAGCAACUUUGGAGUGAUUUGAAUGGUGAUCAGCAGGUACAAAUAUCUGAACACCAUAUUCUUCCUGGACACUUUAUAAUUCUUAUUAGUUUGGCAUAAUCUUUCCUGACUUUUCAGAAGGACCAUGUUAUUCAGUGGAGCCUUGCAUUCAGAUAACCUUCCAAGGAGACUCUGGUACUUAGAGAUACCAUGUUUGUAACUCUUAAGCGGCCUGUUAAAGCCUUUAAUGAGUUGCUGGCACCAAAAGGAUUCAGUUGGAUUAAGGAACAUGGAGAGAUUUUACAUUUUUUAUGUAUUUAAAGUAGAGGAUUUUUUGUUUGUGUAUUUGUUUGUUUGUCUUUUGUAAACUUUCCUAGUCAACACACAUCUUGGCUUGUUUGUUCAUCUCUUUAAAUGAUACAGCAAAUUUUGGUCUCUGUCCGUGCCACUCCUCUCUGACUGCACAUGAGAUGGGUGUUGUGGUCUCUUGGGUGGAUUGGAGGCUUGGAAUGGGCCUUGGUGACCAUUUCCUGAGUUUUCCCUAUUAAAUUUGUUCUUUGGUGCCUAAUUUCUCCUACUAUUAGGACUAUGAUUUUUAUUUUUUUAAAAAUCUGGACUUUUGUCCAGAACUUUGAAACAUGGCAUUGUUCCAUGGAACUAUGAAUGUGAGUGAUUUAGACAUCAUCAAAAUGCAACUUUAUUUUUGUUUCCUGACAUUUGUUUAAACUUGUUUAGUGGGAAUAAUUUUCCCUAUGCUCAACAAGAAACUUGGCAGGUCUCCAGGCUUUUCAGCUCAUUUGUAGACACUAGAGAGACCUAUGGCCAUUAUCAUAGCCCACAAACACAGGCUAGAGCUAAUAAAUAGUAUAUCUAGUCUCAUGUGAUGAUCAAAACUCUGAAUUGGAAUUAACAUUACAUUUUCUUUCCUGCCCUGACUUGGACUGCUUCGGGCUGGAAGUCUGGGGUGGGAGAUGGGGGAUGGUUCUUUGGCGCUCUCCUGUUUCCUGAUUCUUGGCUCACCUUCUCCUCGACUUGGUCACCAGCUGCUGUAGUGAAUCUCACAAGGGUGGAGGCAUGGGAAGGAGGAGAAGUGAGCAGAUGAGAUAGUAUCUGCUUUGCUAAGGGCAUCAUGGUCUCUGGUAGUGGCCAAGGGAUAGAGUUGAUUUCAUUCUCUUGAAAGCACUUUCAUGGGAUCUUAAGAGGUUUCCUGCUGGAUCUUGUGACCUAAGGUUUUUGUGACCAGUGAGUGAUUCCCUAAUCCACCUAAUUCAGGUAGACACUUGUGACAUCUUCCUUUGCCAUGGGCAUCUGAUGGUAUAACUCCAGCUUCUUUCUGCUGAUGUCCUGCCUUCCUCCAGGCAGCUCAAUUAGUUAGGACCCAAGAAGGCCCCAGGCAGCUUCUCCCAAUCUGAUCCACAUCCAGUUCAUGAGAAACAUUCAUGCAUUUCUUCCUCUAUUCUAGAAGUGAAAGCCAAUCCUGGUGAAGCAGCCCUCACCAGUGGGGCAGUUGGUCAAUUCCCCCUUCACCCUGUAGAUUUUCAGGAAGGGGUCAGAUCAGGUUCCAGUCUCCUUGACCUUCACAGAUGUGUCAGGGGGCGUUCCUCUGUGUCUUUGAAGUAUAGAAAUACAUUUCCAAUUUCUGCAAGUGGUCCCAUUGGAUAAUCCCUCCUUAGGCCUGGGGAAAUCUAUAUGCUGUAUUUCUACUCUCCCUAAAUACCUGACUGAGCUGAGGAGGUCCAAAAAUUGAGAAACUAUGUUCAUUUGUUUUCCUUUGUAAAUUCUGCAUAAAGAAGUGAUGUUGAAAUGAAGCAGGAUGUGUCUCAUUCUGUCUUGCUGCACAUGUUUCUCUUUUACAAGGGCCUUACAGUCUACAGGAGGGGCUUAAAAAAACAGGAAAAGAUUUAAAAUCUAUAAAGAAGAUGUUACAAGUCAAGUAGCCCCAAGUCCCAGUUAUACAGACAAUGAGUUCUGUGGUUCAGGUUAGGGUUUGGGCGGGUGGUAGGAAGGGGGAAAUGAGAUGGAGUCAGAAGUGUGUGUUCAAAGCUUUCAGUUUUAGUCUUGUUGCAGUCUACUGCUUUCCUACUUGAAAUUCAAGAUUCAAACACUCUGAGAUGAUGAGCCAAGCUUCAAGGAUUCUUCUGGCUGGAAAUGACUGGCUGAGAAAAUGCAUCCAGGGUCCAGGCAACUCCUAGAGUGAGGAGCUGAAGAUGAUGAAAUACAGCACUUAUAUUAAGCACCACGUGCAUGUGAACCUUGUCUUAUCGGCCUACGUGCAUUUUUGGCCAAUUCCAGAAGCCUCCUUAGAUACUCAGUACAUGGGAGAAGAGGUAAACUGAGAUCAACAAUAUUCAUUUUGCAGAAGCACUUGGAUGUCCCAUUGAUCAUUGUUCAUUCAAUAUAUACAUAUAUUCUCUCUCCCCCCUCCCCUCCCUCACACACACGUCAUGCACCACUUUGCUCAAGACUCUAUUCCAGGCAUUGUGAGAGACAGUUAAAGUCUCCCAGGUAGCUCAAGAGAUGAGAGACACACAGCAAAUAGCUAUACUCACUGCUGAGGACAGUAUAUCUGAAUGUGAGAACAGAGAGUACCUGGUUCAACUCAGCAAAAGAAGAGAUGCCUUCUUCCUGUCAUUAUCCAGGAAAAUUUUUCAAGAGGAUUGCAACCAACUGUGUCUCACCUGGACUUCACCACUUCUCCAAGUGCUGGUUUCUCUUCUAGGCUCAGUCAUGGCCUCUGGGCUCUCACAAUGCACAGGUACUGAUUGUAUUGAGUGCUGGCAAGUCUGACAGGGCCUCUGAGUCACCAUCCCCUACAUUGGAGGAGUCCAGCACUCUGAGAAUUUUUAUGCUAUGCUUGCAUGUCGUAUUCUAUAUAAUGGGAGGAAAAAGAAGAAGUGGCUUUUUCUGCGGGGCUUCCCCUGAGUCUCCCCCUUGGCCCUAGAGCUGACCUUGUGUGUCCCAGCCAUGGAAGAGGCUGUGCACAGCAGCUCAGCAGGCUUGUGCUCCAGACCAGCCAGUCCUGCCCUCUGCUCUUCAUACCCAAUCCCAUCAUCAUCAGGAAGAAGACCUCCUUGAGAAGAAAACGGAACAUGGCCCUAACAGUGGGCAGCAUGAAACUGAGGAACACAGCAGGAAGCUGAUUUAGGCAAACUCAGCAGGAAGUGUUCCCUGUGAACCCAUGAGACUUCAUCCCUGCGUUGGUCUGGCUGGCUUUCCCUGUGAGAUACAGGUUCCUCCUGAAGAGCUGAAGCUCCAUUCCAGCUCUAGACUUCUCCUUGCUUUCAGACUUCAAGAUGAGAAGCAUUUUUCCAGUCCACAAGUGUUAGAGGACACUGCCGAUGAUGUGUGUUUUGCCCAGGCUGGACUCAGCUUCUUUGUCUCGCAGCCUGGCGAAGAGGCAGUGCUGUGCCAGGAAAUAGCACCCAGGCAGGACUCCAGGGUGGGGACCGCUAAUCUGGCUUUGCCACAAUUUUGAAAGAAGAGUCAUGCUUCAAUUAAUAACAGACAACGGAGUCAAUAUGAAGGGAGCAGAGACAAUGAUGUGAUCAAAUGCCAAGAAAUGACUGACAGCAGAAAAAAUAUCAUGUGAGCCAAAGCAAUUUCACUUGACUUCUAACUUUAUUCAUCCAACGAAUAACAUUUCAUCACAGUUUUAUCAAUGGAAUGCAAUUCCACCCAGAUCAUUCUGUCAACGACAAGAAACAGCAUCAAAUCAUUCUGUCCACACAAAUAAAUCAAUUGUUGAUUAUUAUUUUCUUCUAUUUGGGAUACAAGGAGGACCAAAUAUUUCGAGUAAAACAAAGGAAAGGAAAGCAGAAAAACUUUUUGUUGUUGUUGACAAAUCCAGCUGGGUAAAUGCAAUUUAUGUCUUUUGAAAAAAUGCAUCCUGAUGUGAGGAGGGAUAAACUGUUUUUAAACUCGAACCAGGGACAAACUGUAAUAAUAAACACACUGGAAGAAAAUGCAACCAUUUAUUGGUUCUUGCAGAUAAAAUAGCAUUUCCAGUUUUUUUUUUUUUGUUUUUUUUUUUUGCUGUUGCUUAUGUAGUUCUCCUUACUGGAAUUCCUCUCCCUUUCUUUGAAUGUAUAAUCACAUUUUGAGAAAACACGAAAUCUCAGGGUCUUACAAAAUCCAACAGGGGAACGUGUCAUCUUUAAAUGACAAGCUGUGUGGGGAGUACUCUGGUUAUGAAUUAGGCUGUUUUUCCUAGUACUGCAAUUUCUUCUUGCUGCCAUUUCGAUGGUGUUGAAAGCCCUUUCUCCAGACUUGUAAGUUGGUGGUCCACUACUGAAUGGAAAGAAAUCUGGUUUUCCAUAUGUUCUCACUCAUAGGUGGGAAUUGAACAAUGAGAACACUUGGA
rnacentral:lncRNA from 10 species